GGAUAUGUAAACGAACUAACAGAGAGCGCGUAAUGAUAAUUAAUUUUUUUUGCUAUUUGAAUUACAUGUUUUCAACUACAAUUCAAUUAAAUCAACUACAAUAAUUGGUACUUGAUUUUAUUUAUUCUUCACCCCCAAUUGUAUUUUUAUUCCUGCAUCAUGAUACUGAAAAGUGGUCACGCGACUAUAAAAAAUCCACGUCAAACAAAGGGUAAAGCAACAGUAAAAAAAAGAGCAAAACAAAGAUAAUUUUUUUUCUAGGUAGCUUAGUUGAUAAAUUUCUCCAUCAAGUAACCCAGAAAGAAGCCUGGCUAGACGAAAUAUUGAAAAGCAACUUUGUACCUAGAGGAGAAGAAAUAUAGGAGAAUGACAACAAGUUUAUAGAGAAAAGCAUACAGUAGCUAUCAAAUAAUGUCGCAUAAUGGAAGCAUGUUUUGAGAGAAAAAGAGACAGUAACUAUCUAAUAAUGCCCCAUUCUCAUUUUAAUCUGGUUUAAUAAUCAUGUGCUUGCUUCAAUAUUAAAGAUUAACAUUUAUAUAAUAUAUAUUCUUAGACAAGAAGCUAAAUAUCAGCAAUGCAUACGAAGUCAUGUCAAUCAUGAUGCUUCAUAGAGAUUUCAAGCGAUGGACAUGAAGGUUUGGUGCUACCGGUUAGUUGGUUAUGAUAAAACCAAAAAGAAGUAAUAUAAAAACUGUAUGAUCUAUGCAGCAUCCUAACUUUGGAGUUCUGUAGACACAAAUUUUAGCAUACUAUUAUCCUAUUGUAGUUUUUCAAAUGUUAAUUUAUGUGGUGGACGCACAUUUUGAGGCCCACGGAGAAGCAGCUCAAAUAUAUAGAAAUUUCUGCAUAAUCAUAUAUGCAUAUCAGGGUUUUUGAGCAAUAUUUUUAUAAUGCACAGUCCUUAGUCAUGUUCAACAGUUGAAGGAUUCUCAUUAGAAGGUCAUGCAAGCUGGACAAUAUUUUUAAUCAAAAUUAAAUCGCUCAACUCUGUUGUACGAAGAACUAAAAAUAAAAAUAUUCAUCUUACAGAAGUGAAGGCUACCAAGGAAAACCUAAGGCUCAAAAAUAAAACACAUUAUCCUUUUAGAACAGCAGAAACAGAGCUAGACAACUUGUAUGGUACAUGAAGGUCCCAAAUAUUGUAUAAGAUCUAUAUAUGUACCUCCAUGAAUAGGCUGAAGGGUUGUCACAUUUGUACUACAUAAAUGGUUAGUCAUUCAUUUAUGUAUAUAAUAUAAAUAAACUUAAGAUCCGGAGUACCUUACAAUGAAACAUCUUCAAAUGCCAAAUGGCAAGCAAAGUCACUGUAGAUUGAGGGCUGAGAAUUUUUAACACAUUAAUCUUUUCAAAAGCAGAAUUCGAAUUAUGGCCUGAGAAUUUAAACUGUAGAAUUUCAUUACUAUAUCUAUCUUUUAAGUAUCUAUGAACUUCGUUCUAUUUUCAUCUGUGUGAUGAUAUAUAACCUCUAGUAAAGUUCGAAACAUUAAGAUUAUGAGAGAAAAAUCUAUUAACUACUGCAGCUUUUUCCAGGAACAAACAGUUAAUGACCGAAAUUGUAAAAGUCAAUUCGUAAUAACAAAAAUGAAACACAUUAGAAAACCAAAAGGGCAAAUAUGAAAUCGAUAUAGUAUGAAUCAAAAGGCAGUCCAAAAGUUAUUAAAGCAAAUCAUGGCAGCAAGAAAGUCGAAGAAGUAGAGCAAAUCAAAGAAAGAUAUAGAAGAGAAAGCGAGCUGAAUUGAAUACCAUGGGAAAGAACUUUAAAAUAUGUCAUAGCUCACUGUUUACCCAGAAGCAGAAUUAUCAUCAUGUGCUUCUCCAAAACCACCUAUAAUAACUAUAUUUACAUGAUGAGAAGUUUAAAAAACAGAAGGCACAUCGAAAAUAACUCCAGAUUUUACUGUUUUUUUGUCUCUACUCAAAAGUAAAAAAUACCAUCUUACAUAAACACAAUUUAUACCAAGGAAUAUGAAUUGCAUAUCAAGUGAAAUUGCUCGCAUAUAAUUUUCUGGUAAUACCAUCGGGCAAAACUGGAAAAAGGUAGAUAGAGAUAUCUCCUUGUGAAAAGGACUGAACUAUUAUUUGUUCUUUUAUGUUAGCAUGAAGAUCCGAAU
rnacentral:lncRNA from 1 species